rnacentral:rRNA from 1 species
UACAUGGGGUGCAAACGUUGCUCGGAAUCAUUGGGCGUAAAGCGCGCGUAGGCGGUUACUUAAGUCGGAUGUGAAAGCCCUCGGCUUAACCGAGGAAGUGCAUCCGAAACUGAGUAGCUAGAGUACUAAAGAGGGUCGCGGAAUUCCCGGUGUAGAGGUGAAAUUCGUAGAUAUCGGGAGGAACACCGGUGGCGAAGGCGGCGACCUGGGUAGAUACUGACGCUGAGGCGCGAAAGCGUGGGGAGCAAACAGG